rnacentral:lncRNA from 1 species
UGAAAACAGAGUGGACAAUCAAUAUCUGUAAGAUGAAUGAACGAACAAUGCCAAGCCCUCCCACAGACCAGACACCCGGUCCUCUGAACUGGCCCUCUCCUCCGCGCACUGUGAUGGUGAGCUUCCCGGGAGCUUGCUGAGCGGGGGGCUAGCACGCAUUAAGUUUUAUCCUCACUGUAAUGCUACUGUGGAUUCUGUUAGUAGCACCCUUUCGUUGAAGAGGAAAGUGGGACUUACUUAAGAGCUACGUAGUGACUUUCUCAAAGUAACACAGCUUGACAGAGAGAUCGUGCCAUGGAAACAAGAGGGAAGAAAUCUGAAGCAAAGGGACCCUGUCUGGGAAAAGCCACAGAAGUCAACAAGAGCAAUCCAAAGCAAGGUGACCACUAGAGAAGCUGCAGAACAAAAAGCCCCAGUUCGUUACCAGGUUAAAGCAGGGAUAUUUCUGAGCCUAGCCAUCAUUUUGGGUCUUCCGGCAAAAUAGUGAAGCUCCUGAGCUUGUGACUCCAGAGUGACAAUCACUAACAGAUGCAUUGGUACUUGGGCAGAAUUGGCCUUUAAUUGUUGCUUGUAGGAGAAAGGAAAAGCGACUAGCAGCACCGUUCUCUGUUGCUGGCAGAUAACAAACUCAAGAUGAAGCCACAUUUACAGGGGAGAAAUUGCUUACGCCCACAGAAUGAAAUUUCAGGCUUUGACAGCUGCUAGGUAAGUAAAUGAGAAUCAUUUUAUUCUGGGUAAGUGCAACACAGCACAUCUUGAACAAUGAGGAGUUGAUGGCCCGAGGGCGGUGACACCCAGGUUGUGCGCAUUCAGAAGAGUCUCCUAGGAGAAGAACCGGGGAACAAGUGGCCAAACAAUUGUCCC